UGGCGGCAGGCCUAACACAUGCAAGUCGAGCGGUAGCACAGAGAGCUUGCUCUCGGGUGACGAGCGGCGGACGGGUGAGUAAUGUCUGGGAAACUGCCUGAUGGAGGGGGAUAACUACUGGAAACGGUAGCUAAUACCGCAUAAUGUCGCAAGACCAAAGUGGGGGACCUUCGGGCCUCAUGCCAUCAGAUGUGCCCAGAUGGGAUUAGCUAGUAGGUGGGGUAACGGCUCACCUAGGCGACGAUCCCUAGCUGGUCUGAGAGGAUGACCAGCCACACUGGAACUGAGACACGGUCCAGACUCCUACGGGAGGCAGCAGUGGGGAAUAUUGCACAAUGGGCGCAAGCCUGAUGCAGCCAUGCCGCGUGUGUGAAGAAGGCCUUCGGGUUGUAAAGCACUUUCAGCGGGGAGGAAGGCGGUGAGGUUAAUAACCUCACCGAUUGACGUUACCCGCAGAAGAAGCACCGGCUAACUCCGUGCCAGCAGCCGCGGUAAUACGGAGGGUGCAAGCGUUAAUCGGAAUUACUGGGCGUAAAGCGCACGCAGGCGGUCUGUCAAGUCGGAUGUGAAAUCCCCGGGCUCAACCUGGGAACUGCAUUCGAAACUGGCAGGCUAGAGUCUUGUAGAGGGGGGUAGAAUUCCAGGUGUAGCGGUGAAAUGCGUAGAGAUCUGGAGGAAUACCGGUGGCGAAGGCGGCCCCCUGGACAAAGACUGACGCUCAGGUGCGAAAAGCGUGGGGAGCAAACAGGAUUUAGAUACCCUGGUAGUCCACGCCGUAAACGAUGUCGAUUUGGAGGUUGUGCCCUUGAGGCGUGGCUUCCGGAGCUAACGCGUUAAAUCGACCGCCUGGGGAGUACGGCCGCAAGGUUAAAACUCAAAUGAAUUGACGGGGGCCCGCACAAGCGGUGGAGCAUGUGGUUUAAUUCGAUGCAACGCGAAGAACCUUACCUGGUCUUGACAUCCACAGAACUUUCCAGAGAUGGAUUGGUGCCUUCGGGAACUGUGAGACAGGUGCUGCAUGGCUGUCGUCAGCUCGUGUUGUGAAAUGUUGGGUUAAGUCCCGCAACGAGCGCAACCCUUAUCCUUUGUUGCCAGCGGUUCGGCCGGGAACUCAAAGGAGACUGCCAGUGAUAAACUGGAGGAAGGUGGGGAUGACGUCAAGUCAUCAUGGCCCUUACGACCAGGGCUACACACGUGCUACAAUGGCAUAUACAAAGAGAAGCGACCUCGCGAGAGCAAGCGGACCUCAUAAAGUAUGUCGUAGUCCGGAUUGGAGUCUGCAACUCGACUCCAUGAAGUCGGAAUCGCUAGUAAUCGUAGAUCAGAAUGCUACGGUGAAUACGUUCCCGGGCCUUGUACACACCGCCCGUCACACCAUGGGAGUGGGUUGCAAAAGAAGUAGGUAGCUUAACCUUCGGGAGGGCGCUUACCACUUUGUGAUUCAUGACUGGGGUGAA
rnacentral:rRNA from 1 species